rnacentral:rRNA from 1 species
GAGGGGGAAGGGGAAUUGUAUAUCGACUCACCAUCGGGCGAAUUGAGGCCCGCCGUCGGCAGGUCCCCGCCGCCGUGGCGGGGGCGGGAAUUUUUUUUGGAGUUUGAUCCUGGCUCAGAACGAACGCUGGCGGGAGGCUUAACACAUGCAAGUCGAACGCCCUCUUCGGAGGGAGUGGCAGACGGGUGAGUAACACGUGGGAACCUACCUAGGGGUACGGAAUAACUCGGGGAAACUCAUGCUAAUACCGUAUACGACCUUCGGGUGAAAUAUUUAUCGCCCCUAGAUGGGCCCGCGCUGGAUUAGCUAAUUGGUGGGGUAAAAGCCUACCAAGGCGACGAUCCAUAGCUGGUCUGAGAGGAUGAUCAGCCACACUGGGACUGAGACACGGCCCAGACUCCUACGGGAGGCAGCAGUGGGGAAUCUUGGACAAUGGGCGCAAGCCUGAUCCAGCCAUGCCGCGUGAGUGAUGAAGGCCCUAGGGUUGUAAAGCUCUUUCGCCAGGGAAGAUAAUGACGGUACCUGGAUAAGAAGCCCCGGCUAACUCCGUGCCAGCAGCCGCGGUAAUACGGAGGGGGCUAGCGUUGUUCGGAAUUACUGGGCGUAAAGCGCACGUAGGCGGCUAUCCAAGUUGGGGGUGAAAUCCCUGGGCUUAACCCAUGAACUGCCUUCAAAACUGGAUGGCUAGAGUCCGAGAGAUGUGAGUGGAAUUUCCAGUGUACAGGUGAAAUUCGUAGAUAUUGCAAAGAACACCAGUGGCGAAGGCGGCUCACUGGCUCGGUACUGACGCUGAGGUGCAACAGCGUGGGGAGCAAUAGGAUUA